rnacentral:rRNA from 1 species
CUGUGUGCUUCAAAUAUUACACAGUCUGGCCUGCCCACUGGGAGACUGAAGGGCCGCGGUAAUUUGACCGUGCUAAGGUAGCAUAAUCAAUAGUCCUUUAAUUGGGGACCGGAAUGAACGGUUGGACAAGAAGUUAACUGUCUCUUAAAUGAAUCUUGAAGUUUACUUUUAAGUGAAAAGGCUUAAAUGAGUUAAAGGGACGAUAAGACCCUAUAAAACUUAACAAGUUAUGUAAGUAGUUAUUAAAUUAUGUGUUUAAAAUGACUAAAGGUGUAAUUGUUUCGUUGGGGCGAUUGAGAUAAAAUUAAUUAACUGUCUAAAAGUUAUAAUAAAAAUAAUUAGUGAGUAUGAUCCUUUAUUAAGGAUUAAAAGAUUAAGUUACUUUAGGGAUAACAGCGUAAUUUCUCUUGAGAGUCCUAAUCGACAGAGUUAGUUGCGACCUCGAUGUUGAAUUAAGGUGUUAUUCGGGCGCAGAAGCUCGAAAGUAGGUCUGUUCGACCUUUAAAACCUUAC